rnacentral:rRNA from 1 species
AGGACGAACGCUGGCGGCGUGCUUAACACAUGCAAGUCGAGCGGAAAGGCCCUUCGGGGUACUCGAGCGGCGAACGGGUGAGUAACACGUGAGCAACCUGCCCUUAGCUCCGGGAUAGCUCCGGGAAACCGGAAUUAAUACCGGAUAUGACCUAGGCCGACAUCGGCUGUGGUGGAAAGUUUUUCGGCUGGGGAUGGACUCGCGGCCUAUCAGCUUGUUGGUGGGGUAAUGGCCUACCAAGGCGACGACGGGUAGCCGGCCUGAGAGGGCGACCGGCCACACUGGGACCUGAGACACGGCCCAGACUCCUACGGGAGGCAGCAGUGGGGAAUCUUGCGCAAUGGGCGAAAGCCUGACGCAGCGACGCCGCGUGGGGGAUGAAGGCCUUCGGGUUGUAAACCCCUUUCAGCAGGGACGAAGCGAAAGUGACGGUACCUGCAGAAGAAGCGCCGGCUAACUACGCGCCAGCAGCCGC